rnacentral:rRNA from 1 species
AGAGUUUGAUCAUGGCUCAGGAUGAACGCUGGCGGCGUGCCUAAUACACGCAAGUCGAACGAGGUGCUUUUGUAGCAAUACGAGAGUAUCCUAGUGGCGAACGGGUGAGUAACGCGUUGGUGACCUACCCCAAAGUGUGGGAUAACAGUCCGAAAGGAUUGCUAAUACCGCAUGUGGUCAUUGGAUUUAGAAACCGAUGUCUAAAGGAGCAAUUCGCUUUGGGAGGGACCUGCGUCCCAUCAGCUAGUUGGUGAGGUAACGGCUCACCAAGGCGACGACGGGUAGGGGACCUGAGAGGGUGACCCCCCACAAUGGAACUGAAACACGGUCCAUACACCUACGGGUGGCAGCAGUAGGGAAUAUUGCUCAAUGGGCGAAAGCCUGAAGCAGCAACGCCGCGUGUGUGAUGAAGGCCUUCGGGUCGUAAAGCACUUUUCUGGGAGAUGAGAAAGGACAGUAUCCCAGGAAUAAGUCUCGGCUAACUACGUGCCAGCAGCCGCGGUAAUUC